rnacentral:rRNA from 1 species
GUAGUCCACGCUGUAAACGAUGGGUACUAGACUAAGUGGGAAUUGACCCCUGCUGAGUCGGAGCUAACGCAAUAAGUACCCCGCCUGGGAAGUACGGUCGCAAGACUAAAACUCAAAGGAAUUGACGGGGGCCCGCACAAGCGGUGGAUCAUGUGGUUUAAUUCGAAGCAACGCGAAAAACCUUACCUGGGUUUGACAUCCUUGGACCGCUGUAGAAAUACAGUUUUUGUAGCAAUACAACCAAGAGACAGGUGCUGCAUGGCUGUCGUCAGCUCGUGUGGUGACAUGUUGGGUUAAGUCCCGCAACGAGCGCAACCCUUGUCUUUAGUUGCCAGCAUUAAGUUGGGCACUCUAGAGAGACUGCCGUGGUUAACACGGA